rnacentral:rRNA from 1 species
UAGGGAAUCUUCGGCAAUGGGGGGAACCCUGACCGAGCAACGCCGCGUGAGUGAAGAAGGUUUUCGGAUCGUAAAGCUCUGUUGUUAAGGAAGAACGAGUGUGAGAAUGGAAAGUUCAUGCUGUGACGGUACUUAACCAGAAAGGGACGGCUAACUACGUGCCAGCAGCCGCGGUAAUACGUAGGUCCCGAGCGUUGUCCGGAUUUAUUGGGCGUAAAGCGAGCGCAGGCGGUUAGAAAAGUCUGAAGUGAAAGGCAGUGGCUCAACCAUUGUAGGCUAUGGAAACUGUUUAACUUGAGUGCAGAAGGGGAGAGUGGAAUUCCAUGUGUAGCGGUGAAAUGCGUAGAUAUAUGGUGGAACACCGGUGGCGAAAGCGGCUCUCUGGUCUGUAACUGACGCUGAGGCUCGAAAGCGUGGGGAGCGAACAGG